GGGCUUGUGGUAUAGUGGUAUUAUACUUGGCUGGCAGUCAAGGGAUCUGAGUUCGAUUCUCAGCAAGUCCA
rnacentral:tRNA from 1 species